GACGAACGCUGGCGGCGUGCUUAACACAUGCAAGUCGAACGGAAAGACCCUGCUUUUGUGGGGUGCUCGAGUGGCGAACGGGUGAGUAACACGUGAGUAACCUGCCCUUGACUUUGGGAUAACUUCAGGAAACUGGGGCUAAUACCGGAUAGGAGCUCCUGCUGCAUGGUGGGGGUUGGAAAGUUUCGGCGGUUGGGGAUGGACUCGCGGCUAAUCAGCUUGUUGGUGGGGGAGUGGCUGACCCAGGCUGUGACGGGUCGCCGGCACGAGAGGGUGACCGGGCACAAUGGGACUGAGAGACGGCCCAGACUCGAAUGGGGGGCAGCGGGGGGGAGUAUGGCACAAUGGGCGGAAGCCGGUUGCAGCAACGCCGCGUGCGGGAUGACGGCCUUCGGGGUGUGAACCGCUGUCGCCUGUGACGAAGCGUGAGUGACGGUAAUGGGUAAAGAAGCACCGGCUAACUACGUG
rnacentral:rRNA from 1 species